rnacentral:lncRNA from 1 species
CAACUAAUCUUUGAAUUACAUCAUGUCCACUAUGCUAUUACAAACAUACAUUCAUGCAUAACUUUCCUCUGUACUCUUGCUGACUUUGACUUCCCAUAGCUAUCUCAGAACCUGCAAAACUGGGGUUAAGGGAGUGGGAUGAGCUCUAGAGCCCAGUGAGGAGGAACAAGAAAAUAGUUCAUUAAUUAUAUGCUUUCAUGAAAUGCAUCACAUCACAAACAUAUCAUCUCAAGGAUGAACUUGUCACCAAUAGCCCUCAACUACAUGUGAUAAUCUGACCAACUGUGCCAGGGAGACGAUGUCAUCACCUGGUCUACUCUUAUCUCUGCUCUGAUAUCAUAACAUGACCAACUGUGCCAAGGAGACGAGGUCUCACCUGGUCGAUACUUAACUCUGAAUUGACAGCCCAGCUGUCUCACUCAUAGUACCAGGAGCGACCUGGACUAUCCAGGGGCGACCUGGUAUGGCUAUCUCAUGCCAUAAAUCUGUAUCUGCUCUCUGUCAAGGGCUAAGGAUCAUCCAACAUUCAUCCA